CCUACGGGUGGCAGCAGUGAGGAAUAUUGGUCAAUGGACGAAAGUCUGAACCAGCCAAGUAGCGUGAAGGUUGACUGCCCUAUGGGUUGUAAACUUCUUUUAUCUGGGAAUAAAAUGUUCCACGUUUGGGAGUUUGUAUGUACCUUAUGAUUAAGGAUCGGCUAACUCCGUGCCAGCAGCCGCGUUAAUACGGAGGAUACGAGCGUUAUCCGUAUUUAUUGGGUUUAAAGGGAGCGUAGGUGGAAUGUUAAGUCAGGUGUGAAAGUUUGCGGCUCAACCGUAAAAUUGCAGUUGAAACUGGCAGUCUUGAGUACAGUAGAGGUGGGCGGAAUGCGUGGUGUAGCGGUGAAAUGCUUAGAUAUCACGCAGAACUCCGAUUGCGAAGGCAGUUCACUGGACUGCAACUGACACUGAGGCUCGAAAGUGUGGGUAUCAAACAGGAUUAGAUACCCCGGUAGUC
rnacentral:rRNA from 1 species